ACCCCGCACAAGCGGUGGAUCAUGUGUUUAAUUCGAUGAUACGCGAAGAACCUUACCAGGUCUUGACAUCCCCCGCGAUGCUUUAGAGAUAAAGCGGAGGUAUUCGGGGAGACAGGUGGUGCAUGGUUGUCGUCAGCUCGUGUCGUGAGAUGUUGGGUUAAGUCCCGCAACGAGCGCAACCCCUAUUGCUAGUUACCAUCAUUAAGUUGGGGACUCUAGCGAGACUGCCAGUGAUAAACUGGAGGAAGGUGGGGAUGACGUCAAAUCAUCAUGCCCCUUAUGACCUGGGCUACAAACGUGAUACAAUGGCUGGAACAAAGGGAUGCGAAGCAGUGAUGUGGAGCGAAACCCAUAAAAACAGUCUCAGUUCGGAUUGAAGUCUGCAACUCGACUUCAUGAAGUCGGAAUCGCUAGUAAUCGCGGAUCAGAACGCCGCGGUGAAUACGUUCUCGGGGUUU
rnacentral:rRNA from 1 species